rnacentral:lncRNA from 1 species
GAAAGAAUGUGGACUUCUUCUUAAUGGGAAUUAUUAAACUUCAAGCCAUUCCACUUUAGAAUGUGUUGGAUAUUACCAUUCCCUAAGGAAUGAGAGUUGAAAAAACUGAGUAACUCUGCUAGACAUAUGUAAUACUUUGUGUCAUCACAGUAAGUAUGAAAGAUCUGGCACAUCAGUUGGAACUAAGAAAAAUUAGCAGUAUAUACAGAACAGUUUAGCCUGUUCUCAGAACAGUCUGAAGCAAGGCAGAACAGUAUUGCCUAAGGCAUGGCUUUCAAAACUGAAAGGCCAAUCCCAGGGGUUUUUGAGAUGAGAAUCCAGAGGAUGUGAGGCCUGCUACACUCCAAUUGAAAAAGGGAUAUUGACAACGUAUGAAGGGAUCUAAGCUUCUUUGAAAUGCUUGGUAUUGAAGCACAUUUCCUUUUGGCACCCUGACUGCCUGUGCUGGGCUGGAUGUUCAGAGGGGUGGCUCCCCUCCACACAUCAUGCAACUGAUGCUACGUGGAGUAAGUGGGUCUCACCAAUCACACAGUGGACUCAAAUAGGGAAUUCCAGUUGUCCAGGAAUCUUAGAAGUGAUUAUGGCCUGGCCCAAAGGCAAAAAUUUCGGAAUAUUGCCAGAAGAGGCUCUGCUAUAUAAUAAACUGCCAGAAAAUAUGCCUUGGUCACGGAUCAGUCCUGUCACAUUGUGAGAAGUCAUCGAAUGUGGAAAGCUACUGUGUGGAGUCCUACACAAUGAACUGCAGAAACUACUGAAGGAGAAGUGAAACCGAAGAAUGGAGGGCUUGUUAAUGCAGUCUGCAUCAACUCUAUGGCUAAUUGCUGCUAGAAUUUUUAUGACUGCUUUGUGGUAAAGAUGGUAUCACUGAGACUUAUUUUGGAUGAAUCAUUCAGAUGAGGAGGUUGUGACAUGUCUAGCUCUGGGCAACAGCUUCUUGGAAAGGGCUUUCUUCCAUCGUGUUGAACAGUUUUGACAAGCGCAGACUGAGACAGCAGGCAUCUUGCAAGUGAUACUCAAUAGAAAUCUCCCUGACAUGGAAGAAGCACGUCAGAACUGGGCAGAAUAUGGCAAAAUUUCACUUUUUCAGAUUAGCGAUUCCAGUGCCUUACUGGUGCAUUAGCCUCAGCCAGCAGAGUCCCUGGCACAGGGAUGUGAGCACGAGCUUGGAAAUGUGUACUUCAGGCAGAAGCACAGAGACAGCUUGUCACCCACUGCUGGCUCCUCGUCAUUCUUCUCUGGCAGGAAGCACCCCCUUAAUCAGUGAACUUUUUCCUCUGAAAGGAGCAAAGUGUAUUAAGACUUCUUGCUUCUAUAAGAACUGGCUCAAUUUCCCUUGGUUGCUGAAGCAGGAAUUCCAG